UAUGGUACAGCAAAGGCCAAACAGCUACCAGGAGGCAACCUGAACGUGUCAGGGCCUGGGCACGACACUUGCCUUUCUUGGAGGAGUGAUUUGAAGCCAUAGUGGAAGACUGAGCCUCUAUAAAAAAUGAACGAGGACACUCUUAAUGGACAGAUACAAAACAAGCCCCAGGAGAAAGGUGUAUCAACCAUUUUAAAUCUGCCCUCAAAAGCACAGAACAAAUCAGACGGCAUUUUGCUCACAGAGGAGAGGGUCUAUGAGAACCAAAUUCCAGCUUCAGCACAUGGCCUUGGGUACAGCUACAAGAUGGAGGAAGCUAUUUGACCUGCCUCAGACUUUACGUGAACAAAAG
rnacentral:sRNA from 1 species